GCCGGGGUGGCGAAAUGGCAGACGCACUAGACUCAAAAUCUGGCGCCCGAAAUGGCAUGGGGGUUCGACUCCCCCCCCCGGCACCA
rnacentral:tRNA from 1 species